rnacentral:rRNA from 1 species
GACGAACGCUGGCGGCGUGCCUAAUACAUGCAAGUCGAACGAACUCUGGUAUUGAUUGGUGCUUGCAUCAUGAUUUACAUUUGAGUGAGUGGCGAACUGGUGAGUAACACGUGGGAAACCUGCCCAGAAGCGGGGGAUAACACCUGGAAACAGAUGCUAAUACCGCAUAACAACUUGGACCGCAUGGUCUGAGUUUGAAAGAUGGCUUCGGCUAUCACUUUUGGAUGGUCCCGCGGCGUAUUAGCUAGAUGGUGGGGUAACGGCUCACCAUGGCAAUGAUACGUAGCCGACCUGAGAGGGUAAUCGGCCACAUUGGGACUGAGACACGGCCCAAACUCCUACGGGAGGCAGCAGUAGGGAAUCUUCCACAAUGGACGAAAGUCUGAUGGAGCAACGCCGCGUGAGUGAAGAAGGGUUUCGGCUCGUAAAACUCUGUUGUUAAAGAAGAACAUAUCUGAGAGUAACUGUUCAGGUAUUGACGGUAUUUAACCAGAAAGCCACGGCUAACUACGUGCCAGCAGCCGCGGUAAUACGUAGGUGGCAAGCGUUGUCCGGAUUUAUUGGGCGUAAAGCGAGCGCAGGCGGUUUUUUAAGUCUGAUGUGAAAGCCUUCGGCUCAACCGAAGAAGUGCAUCGGAAACUGGGAAACUUGAGUGCAGAAGAGGACAGUGGAACUCCAUGUGUAGCGGUGAAAUGCGUAGAUAUAUGGAAGAACACCAGUGGCGAAGGCGGCUGUCUGGUCUGUAACUGACGCUGAGGCUCGAAAGUAUGGGUAGCAAACAGGAUUAGAUACCCUGGUAGUCCAUACCGUAAACGAUGAAUGCUAAGUGUUGGAGGGUUUCCGCCCUUCAGUGCUGCAGCUAACGCAUUAAGCAUUCCGCCUGGGGAGUACGGCCGCAAGGCUGAAACUCAAAGGAAUUGACGGGGGCCCGCACAAGCGGUGGAGCAUGUGGUUUAAUUCGAAGCUACGCGAAGAACCUUACCAGGUCUUGACAUACUAUGCAAAUCUAAGAGAUUAGACGUUCCCUUCGGGGACAUGGAUACAGGUGGUGCAUGGUUGUCGUCAGCUCGUGUCGUGAGAUGUUGGGUUAAGUCCCGCAACGAGCGCAACCCUUAUUAUCAGUUGCCAGCAUUAAGUUGGGCACUCUGGUGAGACUGCCGGUGACAAACCGGAGGAAGGUGGGGAUGACGUCAAAUCAUCAUGCCCCUUAUGACCUGGGCUACACACGUGCUACAAUGGAUGGUACAACGAGUUGCGAACUCGCGAGAGUAAGCUAAUCUCUUAAAGCCAUUCUCAGUUCUGAUUGUAGGCUGCAACUCGCCUACAUGAAGUCGGAAUCGCUAGUAAUCGCGGAUCAGCAUGCCGCGGUGAAUACGUUCCCGGGCCUUGUACACACCGCCCGUCACACCAUGAGAGUUUGUAACACCCAAAGUCGGUGGGGUAACCUUUUAGGAACCAGCCGCCUAAGGUGGGACAGAUGAUUAGGGUG